CGGGGUCCCGGUCCGGGCCGCCCAGGCCGAGACGUUCUUGGACAGCGUCGCGCGCAGCUCCUUGAGCCGGCGGUGGUCCGGGACGGCCGGCUCCGG
rnacentral:tRNA from 1 species